rnacentral:rRNA from 1 species
GAUGAACGCUGGCGGCAUGCCUAACACAUGCAAGUCGAACGACAACACCGUGAGCUUGUGCUCUUACGGGUGGCGGGGGGCGGGCGAGUAACGCGUGCAUCGGCUUCUUCUCUUUCGGGGGUGAUAACGGAGGACAACUUCUACUACCACAUCAUAUAUUCAACCGUUGGGUUCAAGGGUUCUUCUCGCCUUUCGCGAUUGUAAGAGCCGAGUUCGGAUUAGCUAGUUGGCUGGGUAAAGGCACACCCAGGCGACGAUCCGUAGCUGGUCUGACAGGAUGGUCGCCCACCUGGGAACUGAGACAGGGCCCAGACUCCUACGGGAGGCAGCAGUGGGGAAUAUUGGGCAAUGGGGGAAAGCCUGACAGAGCAAGACCGCGGGAGUGAUGAAGGCCUUCGGGUCGUAAAGCCAUGUUGUUGGGAAAGAAAAGAAGCAGGUUUAAACGCGCAGGUAGUGACGGUACCGAAAGAAUAAGCACCGGCUAACUACGUG